CAGCAGCCGCGGGAAUACGAAGGGGGCUAGCGUUGCUCGGAAUGACUGGGCGUAAAGGGCGCGUAGGCGGUUUUGACAGUCAGAUGCGAAAUUCCUGGGCCUAACCUGGGGGCUGCAUUUGAGACGUCAAGACUAGAGUGUGAGAGAGGGUUGUGGAAUUCCCAGUGUAGAGGUGAAAUUCGUAGAUAUUGGGAAGAACACCGGUGGCGAAGGCGGCAACCUGGCUCAUUACUGACGCUGAGGCGCGAAAGCGUGGGGAGCAAACAGGAUUAGAUACCCCAGUAGUCCCUGUCUCUUAUAC
rnacentral:rRNA from 1 species